CUUCCCUUUCUUAAAGGGUCGACGACCAGAAGAAGACCCUCCCACAACAUUCACCGACUCCUUAUGGAGCUGGUGGUCCUUCUCAAAGUUCUGCAGCAACCCCAACAAGUCGUGGUAGUUUACUGCAGGCUUUGUCAUCCGAAAAUGAGUAAGGAAGGGGAGGAAGGACUUGGGCAAAGAAUUAAGGAUCGCAUCCUUACCGAGCUGCUCGU
rnacentral:lncRNA from 1 species